AUUGGUUGCUAUGGGCAACUCAGCAACGUUUCCUCUGGACAGGUUUUGAUAAAUCUCCCCCAUGGUCAGGAGCAGCAAACUGCAGAAUGUACGCUUCAAUCUCAUCGGUACCCAACAGAAAUGUAAUGGCUACACUGUGGCUCUGCUAACCCGGCCGGGCCCAGGGGAGUGAUGGAAGCAGCGACACAUUUCCAGUUAUCAGCUGAGCAAGACGCCAUGAUGCUGGUCUGCUGUCAUAUCAAUGGAAGAAGCAUAAAAACAGAGACAAAAGGGUUAAAGAGUAGCCUGCAGUGAUUGGAUGAAGAGACCCUGCACCGCCCAGGAGACUCAUGGAGGACGAUGAAUCAUGCAGAGUGAGAACACGCCCCCUCAACAAGGGAAGAUGAAAACCAAAUGAUCAAGAGAUAUAGGGUAUUUGUGAAAGAAAUAUAGGUGCUAGACACAUAAAUAUCAUAUGUAAAUGAUUAAGUACUGAUUACAUUUUUUUUUCUCUUUGUGGGAUAUGACAGUGUGUUGUCCCAGUACAGGACAUGGUCCUGCACUACACUUAGACCUUGACAUGUUGACCUGGGGGCUCUUCUGCAGUGUCUCCCCUGCUGUUAUUAUAUUGUUAUUUAAUGUAAUAGGGUUAUAGUCAGUAUGUCAAUGUAUAGUCAGUAUAUAGGACCUUUGGAGGAUUCCAGUAAAUGUCUAAAGGACCUGUGAAAUGUCACAUGUUACGUUUAUGUUAUCACGUUACUCAGAGGGCACCAGGUUAACACAUGACCAGCAGCUUGACCAAUGGGCUUCUAGUACAGCCCCUCUUUAUAAGGAAGGGAGGUGCUGCAAUCUUGCUUUUACAUCAUCACUAUUGCUGAGGAACAAUGGAGACAAGAUGUCUCAGUGCUAGAGUCUAGCUACUUGGAAGGCCUCAAAUCUGCAGUCACUCCAGUAAGUCAAGUCUAUGUCUGCUGUCACUAUCUACAGUCUAGUCAAGCCUCAAGUCAAUUAUCUAAGGUCUAUUACAAGUAUAAUUGGUCCCAGCAAGCUGCAAGGUCCAUUUGUGUUCCUGGCCACCUCUCUGGGAUUCUGGCCUAGCUGUGAAGAUAAUAACACCUAUCUGGCCUCAGUAAAGCCUCUGUUAAACCAUAAUCUGGUUGUGGACUCUCAUUUUCACUGCCUAGCUAUUGGAAUAGCGGAGAUACCGUUUGGGUGGUUCCGGUACCCAAAAACCUCUCUGGCGUCAUGAACAUUAGGGGUUAAUAACACCUUCCCUUUGAAGUUAAUACCAUCUGCCCCACCCACCUACACCGCUACACCCUGUGGUCCCGCCAUCACCGUGGGUCACCACAACAGGUACGCUUUAAAUUCAGACAAAGUGCAUCCUGCUGCCACCUCUGUCUAUGUCCGGAAUUGUCCAGAGCAGGAGAGGUUUGCUUCUGUCCUGGAAUGUUCCUGACAUAGACAGAGGUGGCAGCUGGGAGCGUCAUAUUGGGUUGGAAAAAAUACUAGUCAUAAAACAACUGAUAAGUACUAGAAGGCUUGAGAAGUUAUACUGGUGUAUAACUUUUUGGCACCAGUUAAUAAAAACAUUUUUUUUUCAAUGCAAUUCCCCAUUAAUUCAACAGCAUCUGAGGUCCAUAUGGCCAAUUGUCAUAUACCUUGACUAGCCUGAACAGAAUUAAGAUACCCUUUUGGGCCAUACGCAUUUAUUGUAAUGUAUCUCAAAUGGACAUGUGUCCAAUUCUUCUGAUAUUUGAUAUGUGUUUGGC